rnacentral:rRNA from 1 species
UACGGGGGGGGCAAGCGUUGUUCGGAAUUACUGGGCGUAAAGGGCGCGUAGGCGGCCUGGCAAGUGGAUGGUGAAAUCCCUCGGCUUAACCGAGGAACUGCCAUCCAGACUGCUUGGCUUGAGACCGGGAGAGGUGAGUGGAAUUCCCAGUGUAGAGGUGAAAUUCGUAGAUAUUGGGAAGAACACCGGUGGCGAAGGCGGCUCACUGGCUCAUUACUGACGCUCAGGCGCGAUAGCGUGGGGAUCAAACAGG